GGAGAGGGUGAUAGCUCAGUGGUAGAGCAUCUGUUUUGCAUGCAAAAAAAUUCAGGUUCAAUCCCAGACAUUUCCA